rnacentral:rRNA from 1 species
UACAGAGGGUGCGAGCGUUAAUCGGAAUUACUGGGCGUAAAGCGCACGUAGGCGGCUUGGUAUGUCGGGUGUGAAAUCCCCGGGCUCAACCUGGGAACUGCAUCCGAAACUGCUUUGCUAGAGUAUGGGAGAGGGAAGUGGAAUUUCCGGUGUAGCGGUGAAAUGCGUAGAUAUCGGGAGGAACACCUAUGGCGAAGGCAGCUCGCUGGGACGUUACUGACGCUGAGACGCGAAAGCGUGGGGAGCAAACAGG